AACGAACGCUGGCGGCGUGGAUAAGACAUGCAAGUCGAACGGGAUUAUUUUGUAGCAAUACAGAAAUAAUUCAGUGGCGAACGGGUGCGUAACACGUGGGCAAUCUGCCGGAAAAGUGGGGGAUAGCUCGCCGAAAGGCGAAUUAAUACCGCAUGUGGUGAGGGACGACAUCUUCCUGAAUCCAAAGCCGGGGCAACCUGGCGCUUUUUGAGGAGCCCGCGGCCUAUCAGCUAGUUGGCGGGUAACGGCCCACCAAGGCUAUGACGGGUAGCUGGUCUGAGAGGACGACCAGUCACAC
rnacentral:rRNA from 1 species